UGGGGAAUAUUGCACAAUGGGCGAAAGCCUGAUGCAGCAACGCCGCGUGAGUGAUGACGGUCUUCGGAUUGUAAAGCUCUGUCUUUGGGGACGAUAAUGACGGAACCCAAGGAGGAAGCCACGGCUAACUACGGGCCAGCAGCCGCGGUAUUACGUAGGUGGCAAGCGUUGUCCGGAUUUACUGGGCGUAAAGGGUGCGUAGGCGGACCUUUAAGUGAGAUGUGAAAUCCCCGAGCUUAACUUGGGGGCUGCAUUUCAAACUGGAGGUCUAGAGUGCAGGAGAGGAGAGUGGAAUUCCUAGUGUAGCGGUGAAAUGCGUAGAGAUUAGGAAGAACACCAGUGGCGAAGGCGACUCUCUGGACUGUAACUGACGCUGAGGCACGAAAGCGUGGGGAGCAAACAG
rnacentral:rRNA from 1 species